AUGGUGCGAGGCCUGCCAUGCCUCGACCAUGUGGAGCAGUUCUGCGACAUCUGCGUGAUGACGAAGCAGAGACGACUCCCCUUUCCCCAACAGGCGAGUUUUCGGGCCAAGGAGAGGCUGGAGCUCGUGCACGGAGACCUGUGCGGCCCGGUGACGCCAGCCACACCAGGAGGUCGACGCUACUUCCUGCUGCUCGUCGACGAUCUCUCCCGUUACAUGUGGGUGAUGAUCCUCGGCAGUAAGGGAGAGGCGGCGGACGCCAUCAGGCGCGCGCAGGUUGGUGUGGAGGCGGAGAGCGGCCGCAAAUUGCGCGUGUUGCGCACUGACAACGGCGGCGAAUUCACGGCGGCUGAAUUCGCGUCGUACUGCGCCGAUGAGGGCAUCCAGCGCCACUACUCCGCGCCGUACAGCCCGCAGCAAAACGGCGUCGUCGAGCGGCGCAACCAGACGGUUGUGGGGAUGGCUCGAGCUCUCCUCAAGCAGAGAGGGAUGCCGGCUGUCUUCUGGGGAGAGGCGGUGCUAACAGUCGUCUACAUCCUAAACCGCUCGCCUACCAAGGCACUCGACGGCAGGACACCGUACGAGGCCUGGCAUGGGCGGAAGCCGGCGGUCUCCCACUUGCGGGUCUUUGGCUGCCUUGCGUUCGCCAAGGAGCUCGGUCACAUCGGCAAGCUCGACGACAGGAGCACUCCGGGAGUCUUCAUCGGCUACGCGGAGGGCUCAAAGGCCUACCGCAUCCUCAACCCAAAGACACAGCGUGUGCGCACGGCGCGAGACGUCGUGUUCAACGAAGGGCGAGGGUGGCAAUGGGACAAGGCGGUGGACGACGGCUCGACGCCGACGUACGACGACUUCAUUGUCGAGUACGUCCACUUCAAGGAAGCCGGGGGAGCAACCAGCUCCUCGUCGCCGGGCACGCCUACCCCGGCCCCCAAAACCACAUCGACUCCGGUGCCUGCUACGCCGACGGCACCACAACCGGCGACGCCGCACACUCCAGCCCCGGCAAUCACCACCCCGGGCUCAUCUUCAUCAGCACCAGCUCACGCAGAGCACAACCCGACGAAGUUCGCUUCUCCGCUCACUCACGACGAGGAGCGGAUCGACGCGUAUUAUGGCGGCGAACCGCUGCGGUAUCGUACGAUGGAAGAUCUACUCGGCGACCAGCCGGUGCCGAGACUGGUGCCACGUGACCUGGAGGCGCAGCUACAAAUCGCGUGUGAAGACGGCGAACCACGGUCUUUUGCAGAGGCCGAGAGAGACGCGGCAUGGCGCGCCGCGAUGCAGUUGGAGAUGGAUGCGGUCGAGCAAAACCGCACCUGGGAGCUCGCUGACCUCCCUCGUGGUCACCGCGCAAUCACCCUUAAGUGGGUGUUCAAGCUGAAGAGGGAUGGAGCCGGCGCCAUCAUCAAGCACAAGGCUCGCUUGGUGGCCCGAGGCUUCUUGCAACAGGAAGGAGUCGACUUCGACGACGCUUUCGCUCCCGUGGCACGGAUGGAGUCCGUGCGACUUCUCCUCGCGCUGGCUGCCCAGGAGGGCUGGCAUGUCCAUCACAUGGAUGUCAAGUCGGCAUUCCUCAACGGCGACUUGAAGGAGGAAGUCUACGUGCAUCAGCCACCGGGAUUUGCGAUCCCUGGCCAGGAGGGCAAGGUACUCCGCCUGCGCAAGGCUCUCUAUGGCCUACGGCAGGCACCUAGGGCGUGGAACGCCAAGCUGGACUCCACGCUAAAGAAGAUGGGCUUCGAGCAAAGCCCGCAUGAGGCGGCCGUCUACCGACGGGGCAGUGGAGGAAACGCCCUGCUGGUGGGCGUCUAUGUUGACGACUUGGUGAUUACCGGCACCAAAGAUGCAGAGGUGGCAGCGUUCAAGGAAGACAUGAAGGCCACCUUCCAGAUGAGUGAUCUGGGGCUCCUCUCCUUCUAUCUUGGGAUUGAGGUGCACCAGGAUCACUCCGGGAUCGCGCUUCGACAGUCCGCCUACGCCAAGCGCAUCGUUGAGCUAGCUGGGCUCACCGACUGUCACCCAGCUCUCACUCCGAUGGAGGAGAGGCUGAAACUGAGCCGCGACAGCAAGGCGGAGGAAGUGGAUGCUACGCAGUACCGACGCCUUGUGGGGAGCCUUCGCUACCUCGCCCACACACGACCGGACUUGGCAUUCUCCGUCGGCUAUGUCAGUCGGUUCAUGGAGCGACCGACGUCGGAACACCAGCAGGCAGUGAAGAGGAUCGUCCGCUACGUAGCAGGGACCCUCGACCACGGCCUCCACUACCCUAGGUGUCCGGGGGCGGCACACUUCGUCGGGUACAGCGACCACGCCGGCGACAUCGACACCAGCAAGAGCACGAGCGGGAUCCUCUUCUUCCUCGGCAAGUGUCUCGUGAGCUGGCAAUCAGUCAAGCAGCAGGUGGUGGCCCUGUCCAGCUGUGAGGCUGAGUACAUAGCGGCCUCCACCGCCUGCACUCAGGCGCUCUGGCUCGCUCGACUGCUUGGUGAUCUUCUUGUUCAAGACACCAGAACGGUGCAGCUCCUGGUGGACAGCAAGUCCGCCCUGGCCCUGGGAGCAUCGAGGCGAGCUACAUCAACACCACGGACCAGCUCGCAGACCUGCUCACCAAGCCUCUUGGGAGGAUCAAGUUCCUCGAACUCUGCUCCAGGAUCGGGAUGA
rnacentral:rRNA from 1 species